AUUGAACGCUGGCGGCAGGCCUAACACAUGCAAGUCGAACGAGUGGCGGACGGGUGAGGAAUGUCUGGGAAACUGCCCGAUGGAGGGGGAUAACUACUGGAAACGGUAGCUAAUACCGCAUACCAUCGGAUGUGCCCAGCUUGGAUUCGCGAGUGGGUGGGGUAACGGCCCACCUAGCGGACGAUCCCUAGCUGGUCUGAGAGGAUGACCAGGCAGACUGGAACUGAGACACGGUCCAGACUCCUACGGGAGGCAGCAGUGGGGAAUAUUGGACAAUGGGCGAAAGCCUGAUGCAGCCAUGCCGCGUGUUUGAAGAAGGUCUUCGGAUUGUAAAGUACUUUAAGUGGGGAGGCGUUACUAGCAGAAUAAGCACCGGCUAACUUCGUGCCAGCCGCCGCGGUAAUAC
rnacentral:rRNA from 1 species